rnacentral:rRNA from 1 species
GACGAACGCUGGCGGCGUGCCUAAUACAUGCAAGUAGAACGCUGAAGCGAGGAGCUUACUCUUCUUGGAUGAGUUGCGAACGGGUGAGUAACGCGUAGGUAACCUGCCUUGUAGCGGGGGAUAACUAUUGGAAACGAUAGCUAAUACCGCAUAACAAUGGAUGACACAUGUCAUUUAUUUGAAAGGGGCAAUUGCUCCACUACAAGAUGGACCUGCGUUGUAUUAGCUAGUAGGUGAGGUAAUGGCUCACCUAGGCGACGAUACAUAGCCGACCUGAGAGGGUGAUCGGCCACACUGGGACGGGGACACGGCCCAGACUCCUACGGGAGGCAGCAGUAGGGAAUCUUCGGCAAUGGGGGCAACCCUGACCGAGCAACGCCGCGUGAGUGAAGAAGGUUGUCGGAUCGUAAAGCUCUGUUGUAAGUCAAGAACGGGUGUGAGAGUGGAAAGUUCACACUGUGACGGUAGCUUACCAGAAAGGGACGGCUAACUACGUG